UUAAGAUUUUGAAAGUGAAUGGCUUGUCCAAGUGCAGAAGAUUAUGUAGAGAAUAAGCAAAUAAAAUAAUGAUUUUUGUAAUAUUUCAACUCUGUAGUCAUUUUAUUGAAGUGAACAUUAUUUGGUCAAUGGAACUUACAUCCCGUGCUUGAAACUCUUAAAAGUCUUUCAUAUAGUACACAAUGUCAACACUAGUGUUAAGGUUAGAAUCUCAACCUUUAGGUCAAGGUAACACAACAUUAGUAGUUCAACUUUACUGACCUUUGACCUGUGAUGUUUUAAUCUGUUUUUCUAUUUUGAAGUACAGUGAUUAACUAGAGGUGUCUGAUUUGUUGAUUGACUGAUUAGAUAAGCAGAGUAAUAUUGUGUCAAAUCUAUCAGUUACCUUAUUUCUCCUGAAUUUAAAGAUAAAUAUAUACAAUAAAAAAUACUGUUGUAGUUGGUAUAUUGUUAAUUUCCUAACACUUCAGGGAAUAUCUGUCUUCUGUGACCAACUGUCAAGGUAUAUUGUUAAUUUCCUAACACUUCAGGGAAUAUCUGUCUUCUGUGACCAACUGUCAAGGUAUAUUGUUAAUUUCUUAACACUUCAGGGAAUAUCUGUCUUCUGUGACCAACUGUCAAGGUAUAUUGUUAAUUUCCUAACACUUCAGGGAAUAUCUGUCUUCUGUGACCAAUUGUCAAAGUAUAUUGUUAAUUUCCUAACACUUCAGGGAAUAUCUGUCUUCUGUGACCAACUGUCAAAGUAUAUUGUUAAUUUCCUAACACUUCAGGAUAUAUCUGUCUUCUGUGACCAACUGUCAAAGUAUAUUGUUAAUUUCCUAACACUUCAGGAUAUAUCUGUCUUCUGUGACCAACUGUCAAAGUAUAUUGUUAAUUUCCUAACACUUCAGGAUAUAUCUGUCUUCUGUGACCAACUGUCAAGGUAUAUUGUUAAUUUCCUAACACUUCAGGAUAUAUCUGUCUUCUGUGACCAACUGUCAAGGUAUAUUGUUAAUUUCCUAACACUUCAGGAUAUAUCUGUCUUCUGUGACCAACU